rnacentral:rRNA from 1 species
GACGAACGCUGGCGGCGUGCCUAACACAUGCAAGUCGAACGGAGAACAGAAGGAUUGAGGCUUCGGCGGAUUGAUAACUGUUCUUAGUGGCGGACGGGCGAGUAACGCGUGAGCAACCUGCCCUUCAGAGGGGAACAACAGUUGGAAACGACUGCUAAUACCGCAUAACGUCAUUUGAGGGCAUCCUCGAAUGACCAAAGAUUUUAUCGCUGAAGGAUGGGCUCGCGUCCGAUUAGAUAGUUGGUGGGGUAACGGCCUACCAAGUCGACGAUCGGUAGCCGAACUGAGAGGUUGAUCGGCCGCAUUGGGACUGAGACACGGCCCAGACUCCUACGGGAGGCAGCAGUGGGGGGAUAUUGCACAAUGGAGGAAACUCUGAUGCAGCAACGCCGCGUGAGGGAAGACGGUCUUCGGAUUGUAACCUAAGUAUCAGGGACGAUUAAUGACGGUACCUGAAGAGAAAGCUCCGGCUAACUACGUGCCAGCAG